rnacentral:rRNA from 1 species
GACGAACGCUGGCGGCGUGCUUAACACAUGCAAGUCGAACGGGCCCGCCCCUGUUUUUGGGGGUGGGUUGAGUGGCGAACGGGUGAGUAUCACGUGAGUAACCUGCCCCCUGCUCCUGGAUAACUGCUUGAAAGGGCGGCUAAUACGGGGUGUGCCGGCUGGUCCGCAUGGGCCUGGUCGGGAUAGUUUCAUCUUCGUGUGUUUCGGUGGGGGAUGGGCUCGCGGCCUAUCAGCUUGUUGGUGGGGUGAUGGCCCACCAAGGCGGUGACGGGUAGCCGGCGUGAGGGGGUGGGCGGCCACACUGGGAGUGAGACACGGGCCAGACUCCUGAGGGAGGAGGCAGUGGGGGGUAGUGAAGAACGGGAGGAAGCCUGAGGAAGCGACGGCGAGUGAGGGAUGGAGGCCUUCGGGUUGUGAACCUCUUUAGCCGGUGGUGAAGGCCCUGUCCGUUGCGGAGGGGUUGACGGUAGCCGGGUAUGAAGCGCCGGCUAACUACGUG